UACGUAGGUGGCAAGCGUUGUCCGGAUUUACUGGGCGUAAAGAGCGCGCAGGCGGUCGUUCAAGUCGCGUGUGAAAGCCCCCGGCUCAACUGGGGAGGGUCACGCGAUACUGAUCGACUCGAAGGCAGGAGGGGAAGUGGAAUUCCCGGUGUAGUGGUGAAAUGCGUAGAUAUCGGGAGGAACACCAGUGGCGAAGGCGACUUCCUGGCCUGUUCUUGACGCUGAGGCGCGAAAGCUAGGGGAGCAAACGGG
rnacentral:rRNA from 1 species